GACGAACGCUGGCGGCGUGCCUAAUACAUGCAAGUCGAGCGGACGAAUCGAAAGCUUGCUUUUGAUUCGUUAGCGGCGGACGGGUGAGUAACACGUGGGCAACCUGCCCUGUAGACGGGGAUAACACCGAGAAAUCGGUGCUAAUACCGGUUAACACGAAAUGUCGCAUGACGUUUCGUUGAAAGACGGCGCAAGCUGUCGCUACAGGAUGGGCCCGCGGCGCAUUAGCUAGUUGGUGAGGUAACGGCUCACCAAGGCGACGAUGCGUAGCCGACCUGAGAGGGUGAUCGGCCACACUGGGACUGAGACACGGCCCAGACUCCUACGGGAGGCAGCAGUAGGGAAUCUUCCGCAAAGGACGAAAGUCUGACGGAGCAACGCCGCGUGAGCGAAGAAGGCCUUCGGGUCGUAAAGCUCUGUUGUUAGGGAAGAACAAGUAACGCAGUAACUGGCGUUACCGUGACGGUACCUAACGAGAAAGCCACGGCUAACUACGUG
rnacentral:rRNA from 1 species